rnacentral:tRNA from 1 species
UUAAAAAUAAGCUAAAAUAAGCUUUUGGGUUCAUACCCCAAACAAAAAAAACGAUCCUUUUUUUUAAA